rnacentral:lncRNA from 1 species
CCGAAGUUGGGGACGAGGUCCGGCUCCCGUGAGAGUCCGGACGGAGUCUUCCCGCAGCCGGAGUCGGAGACGAGGUCUGGCUCCCGUAGGAGCCGGGGCGAGGUCUACCUGCACUCAAAGUCAGGGGCGAAGUCCGGCUCCCUUAGGAGUUCGGACGGAGUUUAUCAGCAGUCAAAAUCGAGGGCGGAGUCUGGUUCCCGUAGGAGUCCGGGCGAAGCCUUCCAGCAGUUGAGGUCGGAGACGGAGCCCGGCUCCCGUAGGAGUCCGGGCGGAGUCUGCUUGCAGUCGGAGUUGUGGGUGGAGUCCGGCUCCCGUAGGAGUCCGGACAGGGUCUGUCUGCAGCCGGAGUCGGGGACGAGGCCCGGCUCCCGUAGGGGUCCGGGUGGAGUCUUCCUGCAAUUAAAGUCAGGGGCGAAGUCCGGCUACCGAAGGAGUCCGGACGAAGCUUACCAGCAGUUGAAGUUGGUGACAAAGCCCGGCUCCCGUAGGAGUCCGGACGGAGUCUGN